rnacentral:lncRNA from 1 species
CACUUAUGGGAAUGGUCUAAGAAUGUUGAUUCUCCACAUAAUGAAAGGAUAAGGAGCAACAAUUGAUGUGUGUUUGGCCAUAAAUCUUUUUUGUAUGUUAGCAUACUUUUGACAUUACUCACAUCAUUUGACAAGGUCAAUGGCUCCUUUUGAAGAUUUGGCCAAUUGUACGCUUAUCGGAUGAGCUUAUGACUCGCCCUCUAAGUGAUUAUCAUAGAUAUCUUCAUGU